CGGCCCAAAGCGCCGCCCCGACCCUCCGAGGACGUGUCCGGACGGCGGCAGGGACCGGUUCCUGCCCCCACCAUCUCGUCCGUCCUCCCGCAGCAGCGUCUCCGCGGGCCAUGGCGGCGAACGGAGCCGCCUCUCCAGCCGGGCUGCUCCCUCGCUCCUACCGGCGGCCAUGCCGGCUCUCUGAGGGGUGGGCGGGCGCCGCCACGGACCGGGCCGCCGCGCUGUUGUUGUUGCUGCUGGUCGUGGCGGCGGCGGGCCCGGCCGACGCCUCAGCCGCGGGCGGCCCGGAGGUGCACAGCCUACGGGGGAGCUGGCGGCUGGGCAACGGGAACGGCUCGGUGGUGCUCCCAGGGGAGGUGCCGGGCUGCGUCCACACCGCCCUGCACCGCCGGGGCCUCAUCCAGGAUCCAUACUAUAGAUUUAAUGAUGUGAUGUACAGAUGGAUAUCACUGGAUAACUGGACUUACAGCAGGACAUUCGAAACUCCUUUUGAUGUCAGGAAGUGGCAGAAAGUGAAUUUGGUUUUCGAGGGAGUAGAUACAGUAGCACAGAUCCUGAUCAACAAUAUCACUCUUGGGAGAACAGACAACAUGUUCAACAGAUAUAGCUUUGAUAUUACCAGUGUGAUCAAGGAGGUCAACUUUGUUGAAGUCCGUUUCGUAUCAGCCAUUUCAUAUGCUGCAGAGCAGAGCAGAUGUCACAAAGCAUACAGCAUCCCCCCGGCAUGCCCUCCACCUGUGCAGAAAGGAGAGUGCCAUGCUAAUUUCAUCAGAAAGGCGCAGUGUUCAUUUAGUUGGGACUGGGGCCCUUCUUUUCCCACUCAAGGAAUCUGGAAAGAUGUUAGGAUUGAGGCCUAUAACCAUUACCACCUGAUUUACUUUUCUUUGACUCCUUUCUUUGUAAAGAGUGCUCAGCAGUGGAGUCUUGAAAUCGAGUCUAUUUUUGAUGUAGUCAGCUCCAAGCCAAUUGCAGGUCUUGUGACAGUGAACAUUCCCAAAUUGCAAACACAGCAAACAUUCAAUGUGAUGCUUCAACCUGGAGAAGGCAGCAUUGUGCUGCUUGUAAACAUAAACAAGAGUUCUACAGUGGAGGCUUGGUGGCCAAAUGGACAUGGAAAGCAAACUGGAUACAACAUGACAACAACUUUCAUCAUGGAGACAGGAUACCAGAUUGAGAAACUUUCAAAGGCCUAUUUUCGAACAGUAGAACUUGUUCAGGAGCCUAUUCCUGGCUCAGUAGGUCUGAGUUUCUACUUCAGAAUCAAUGGGCGACCCAUUUUCAUGAAGGGCUCGAACUGGAUUCCAGCAGAUUCUUUCCAGGACAGAGUGACCUAUGACACAUUAUGGCUACUCUUGAAGUCUGCAGCAGAUGCUAACAUGAAUGCACUUCGGGUUUGGGGAGGAGGAGUGUAUGAACAAGAUGAAUUUUACAAUAUUUGCGAUGAACUAGGAAUAAUGAUUUGGCAGGAUUUUAUGUUCGCAUGUGCACUAUAUCCAACUGACCAGAGUUAUUUAGAAUCUGUAAGAGCAGAAGUUUCUCAUCAGGUAAGGCGUUUAAAAUCCCAUCCGUCGAUUAUCCUGUGGAGUGGUAACAAUGAAAAUGAAGCAGCAAUUGCCAGUAAUUGGUUUUCCAUACCUUCUGCUGACAGAGGAGUCUAUAUCAAAGACUAUGUGAUGCUUUAUGUGAAGAAUAUCCGAGAAAUAGUUCUUGCUGAAGAUAAAAGUCGUCCUUUUGUUGCAUCCAGUCCCACCAACGGCUUGGAGUCAGUUAAAGAAGGUUGGGUCUCCCAGAAUCCUUACGAUACCCAUUAUGGUGACACUCACUUUUACGACUACAGCAAUGACUGCUGGAACUGGGCGGUGUAUCCUAAAACUCGUUUUGCUUCAGAAUAUGGAUUUCAAUCCUGGCCUUCCUUCAGUACAAUUAAAGAGGUUUCCUCCACUGAGGACUGGUCCUAUACCAGCAAUUUUUCUCUCCAUCGACAACACCAUGAAAAUGGCAAUGAUGAGAUGCUCCAACAGAUUGGACAUCAUUUCAAGCUUCCUCAGAGCACAGACCCCAUAAAGAAGUUCAAAGAUACGAUUUACCUCACUCAGGUGAUGCAGGCUCAGUGUAUAAAGACAGAGACUGAAUUCUAUCGCUUUAGUCAAAGUGAAAUAAUCAAGGGAGAAGGACACACAAUGGGAGCUCUGUACUGGCAACUCAAUGACAUUUGGCAGGCACCUUCAUGGGCUUCCUUGGAAUACGGUGGUAAGUGGAAACUGCUUCAUUAUUUUGCCCAGAACUUCUUUGCACCGCUGCUGCCCGUGGCCUACGAAGACAAAGGUGUGUUGUACAUUUAUGGUGUCUCAGAUCUUCAUGUGGACCACAAGCUGACUUUGAGGGUCGUUGUCCACUCCUGGAGUUCUUUGGAGCCAGUGUGCACCCUUGCCAAGGACGGUGUGACCGUUAAAGCACAAAGCGCUGUCCCAAUCUACAAGGAAUCCAUAAAUGACCUUCUGGAAAGAUGCAGAAAUUGCACCAGGAAAAGCUGCGUUAUUACUUUCUGUCUUGUGGGAGAAGGUGGGCUCCAGAGUCCUACGAACCAUCACUUCCUUUCAUCACUAAAGGAUGCUGAGGGAUUACAGAAGUCCCAGCUUAGUGCCUCUACAUUGAUAAAGGAAAUCUACAAGUUAUCUGUGAGGCGUCCUGGGCCAACAAUACAAGAAAAAACCUUCAGUUUUGUCAGUGUCCUGGAAUCGAAGUGGAGUCAAAGCAGCAACAGAGCCAAUAUAAGAUCAGGGCACAGACAGGAAAGCAGCACCAGAGAGAUCUUCAAAAACUCCUACGGACACAUCCAUCCAUCUGCAGCCACGUGAGCGCCCUGGCAGCUACUCGGCAGCACCUCUAUCACCAGGUGGAUCUGAUGGGCUGGGGACCAGCAGCAGGAGCACUAGAAAGAGCAUUUGGCCUGGUUCCUCUGCGUGCUGCCUUUAUCCUCACACCUGCAAGGAGCCUGACUACCUCCCAGGUGCCAUCAGUACAAGAAUCAGCAAGCUCUGUACAGGAUGACCACCUACUAAUACGGAAAAAGGCGUGACACCCAGGUUCCUGAAGACUGAGCUGAGCCAAGAACAGCACCGUCAAUUUUUAUCUAUUUUCGUGUCAAGAAAAUCAGCUACAAGUGAGUGAUAAAGAUGCUUUCGGUUGUGAAUUCACUUCCCUCUGGCCAGGAUGACUCCGAUGUGAUUUGAAAUGUCAGAUUUAUUUUUGAGACAAAUACUUGAAUAAUUUUCAUCUAGUAAGAAGGCUGAAAUAUGAAGGAGUCAGCUGUCAUCUAUGCAAGAUCCACAAAAGGAGUGCCUGGCUGCAAGAGAACAGUAUCUGAGUUGAAGGCACAGCAAAAGUCUACAAGAAGAAAGUUGUGCUGCAGUGAAAUAUUCCUGAAACAGGUGAGACGGGCUUGGUGAGACGGACAGUGCUUUCUGAAUGAUUUCAAUGGCUUCUGUGUGACCCAUCUCUCUCAAAGCAGCAAUCAACUCUUGAACUGUACCACCAGAAACCUAAGAGAGAAGACACCAGAUGCUUACUGU